rnacentral:rRNA from 1 species
UACAGAGGGUGCGAGCGUUAAUCGGAAUUACUGGGCGUAAAGCGUGCGUAGACGGUCAUGUAAGUCGGAUGUGAAAGCCCCGGGCUCAACCUGGGAAUUGCAUUCGAGACUGCAUGGCUUGGGUGCGGAAGAGGGAAGCGGAAUUUCCGGUGUAGCGGUGAAAUGCGUAGAUAUCGGAAGGAACACCAAUAGCGAAGGCAGCUCGCUGGGACGUUACUGACACUGAGGCGCGAAAGCGUGGGGAGCGAACAGG